GGCCCUGGGACCCGCCCCACCCGAAGCCCGGGGAGAUCCAACCGCAGGCUGCCUCCGGCCAGCGGACUCAUUCACACUCCGCAAACAGGCUGGGGCCAGACGCCGCCCUGCCCUAGGUGCCCAGCAAACACGCGGGCCAGCCAGACCCCUGGACCUUCACAGGGAGGAGGAGAUGGAGAUGGGUUCACCCCCCACAAAGGAGGGAGGGGAGGGGAUGGCCGCCAUGCCCAGGUGCCGGGACAGGAGCCGAGGGCCGCGUGCACCCCUUGGGCCCUUGGAGGGGCCGGCAUGUGCCUCUCUGUCCCUGUGCCACUUCCACUGGCCGUACAGGGCCACCACCGCGGAAACCGCAUGUGUAACCCCUGGAAACAGGGUCCUCCUUGAUGAGUCAUGUUCUAAGUUGGGAGGAAAAUUCACUGGAUAGUGGAGGCAGUAGAAAGAAAUAAAAAAAGUCUUUGUUCCACA
rnacentral:lncRNA from 1 species